CUUUUCGUAUUCCCAUUUCUUGCAAAUCGUAACGAGAAUUUACAUGAUCUUUUGACUUUCCAUCUAUCUCCAAUAAUAUCCCAAGAAUACUAUCACAUAUAUUUUUCUCAAUGUGCAUCAGAUCAAUAUUGUGCCUCAAUUUGUUAGUUUCCCAGUAUGGCAGUCAAAGGAAAUGGAUCUUUUCUUUCAUGGACACUUGUUAACCUAAGAUAUUUUCUUUUGGCUCUUUCCAAAGACAUUCUUUAAUUCACGCAACUCUUCGAGUAUUUC
rnacentral:lncRNA from 1 species